CGAGCGGACAGAUGGGAGCUUGCUCCCUGAUGUUAGCGGCGGACGGGUGAGUAACACGUGGGUAACCUGCCUGUAAGACUGGGAUAACUCCGGGAAACCGGGGCUAAUACCGGAUGCUUGUUUGAACCGCAUGGUUCAGACAUAAAAGGUGGCUUCGGCUACCACUUACAGAUGGACCCGCGGCGCAUUAGCUAGUUGGUGAGGUAACGGCUCACCAAGGCGACGAUGCGUAGCCGACCUGAGAGGGUGAUCGGCCACACUGGGACUGAGACACGGCCCAGACUCCUACGGGAGGCAGCAGUAGGGAAUCUUCCGCAAUGGACGAAAGUCUGACGGAGCAACGCCGCGUGAGUGAUGAAGGUUUUCGGAUCGUAAAGCUCUGUUGUUAGGGAAGAACAAGUGCCGUUCGAAUAGGGCGGCACCUUGACGGUACCUAACCAGAAAGCCACGGCUAACUACGUGCCAGCAGCCGCGGUAAUACGUAGGUGGCAAGCGUUGUCCGGAAUUAUUGGGCGUAAAGGGCUCGCAGGCGGUUUCUUAAGUCUGAUGUGAAAGCCCCCGGCUCAACCGGGGAGGGUCAUUGGAAACUGGGGAACUUGAGUGCAGAAGAGGAGAGUGGAAUUCCACGUGUAGCGGUGAAAUGCGUAGAGAUGUGGAGGAACACCAGUGGCGAAGGCGACUCUCUGGUCUGUAACUGACGCUGAGGAGCGAAAGCGUG
rnacentral:rRNA from 1 species